rnacentral:rRNA from 1 species
AUACGAAGGGGGCUAGCGUUGUUCGGAAUCACUGGGCGUAAAGCGCGCGUAGGUGGAUCAAUUAGUUGAGGGUGAAAUCCCGGGGCUCAACCUCGGAACUGCCUUCAAUACUGUUGAUCUUGAGACCGAGAGAGGUGAGUGGAAUUCCUAGUGUAGAGGUGAAAUUCGUAGAUAUUAGGAAGAACACCAGUGGCGAAGGCGGCUCACUGGCUCGGUACUGACGCUGAGGUGCGAAAGCGUGGGGAGCGAACAGGAUUAGAAACCCUAGUAGUCC